rnacentral:lncRNA from 1 species
GAUACAAUUAAGAUAUCAUUCUGUUUUCAUGCUCAAAGAAACACAAACAACCAGGAAAGGAAAACUGGAACAUGUUCAUUCUGCAUUCAGAGAAAACCAACUGAUUUAUCAGAUACCAACUUGAGCAGUGAUUCAGAAGACAUCGCAGCCUAUGAUUCUUAUGAUUCACAACAUGAGGAACUUGUGAAUGGCGAGACUGAAAGUUACAAAACAUUCAAUACAAGAUUAUGUGGAGAGAGAAAAGGACUUAGAUGCAGAUGUCCUAGAGGAAGCAGAGAUCAAUUUAAACUCAGGAAUUACAAAGAGCCUGUUCAGUCUUGUGCUCUACAUAGAAAUAAACAUUCUGGUUCAACCUCUUAUUCACAGAAGAGAAUCGCCAUUCAAAAGGCUCAAACAAAUAAGCAGCCACGUGAACUUGUAAACAGACUUUCUGAAAGGCAAAACUUUGAGGCUGCCAAAACCUGCUAUUCAAGCACCCAUGAUAAUUUUAUCCCUUCACAUCAAUACUUACCCAGCAAGAAGUGUGUCCGAAGCAAGUCUGCAAUCAACAUCAGAAACAGAAAUGCCAACGAUUCCAAUGCAAAUGUAAGACUUAAGAGUGAAAAAUUAAAAGCCACGCAACUAUCUCAGGAAGUGUACGCCUGCACAUCAUGGCACUGUUGAACAUCCCCAUUCUUAGCAAGUUGAUUAUUACAAUCUAAGCACACUAGUCCAUUUGAGGAUAAGACAGGAGGAAGUUAAAAAAAACAAGUGUUUUAGCUUAUAAUAUUAGUAUAUUAUUUCAUAUGAGUAUGUUAAAGACUUUUUAUGCAACUUAGUCCCUGUAUAAAUGGUGAAGGGAACAGAGAAGGAGCCCUGGAUCUUAACUCUGGAAUUAUGUUUCACAUACUGAAACAAAGAAUGUCAUCCUAGCCACACAAACCAUAUUCUCGUAUCCAAAAGAAAGCCUCCUCAAUACAACAAACAUACAUCACACUGGAGCUGCUACUUUAGAAAGGUGUAAAUAUCCCUCAGUUCACUGGAUUACAAAAUUAAAGAGAGAAAUAGGUAACAGAUUCUUCCAACUUGAAUCCUGGAACAGUAUAUCACAUGACUCAGAAUUUUUACUUCUCAACGUGUAUUCAGAGUGAAAAUGCUACAUAAAACAUUAAUUAAACAUAACUUUCUAUUCUAUACCUAUGUGAACAUUUGCCUUCAGUAUUAACAAGGCUAUACUUCAUUAUUCCCAACAGAUUUUAAGUUCUACUCUGGAUCAUGCCCUACACACAGCGAACAUUUUGAAGAAAGCUACAGAACGAAUGGUACGAGCAGUUUCAGAAGAUCUAGCUAAAGUUAAAAGGAAACAGCUUUAGUUGCCCAGUUUCAAAGGCUAUAUUGUUUUGUUGGUUGAUACUUAAGUGUCAUUAUUUCUGAAAAUAUGAAAUGAGAAAUAAAAAUAUUAGAAAGUCAGCUAGCUGACUUUGC